GGUUAAGCGACUAAGCGUACACGGUGGAUGCCCUGGCAGUCAGAGGCGAUGAAGGACGUGCUAAUCUGCGAAAAGCGUCGGUAAGGUGAUAUGAACCGUUACAGCCGGCGAUGUCCGAAUGGGGAAACCCAGUGUGAUUCGUCACACUAUCGUUAACUGAAUACAUAGGUUAACGAGGCGAACCGGGGGAACUGAAACAUCUAAGUACCCCGAGGAAAAGAAAUCAACCGAGAUUCCCCCAGUAGCGGCGAGCGAACGGGGAGCAGCCCAGAGUCUGAAUCAGCUUGUGUGUUAGUGGAACGGUCUGGAAAGUCCGACGGUACAGGGUGAUAGUCCCGUACACCAAAAUGCACAGGCUGUGAACUCGAAGAGUAGGGCGGGACACGUGGUAUCCUGUCUGAAUAUGGGGGGACCAUCCUCCAAGGCUAAAUACUCCUGACUGACCGAUAGUGAACAAGUACCGUGAGGGAAAGGCGAAAAGAACCCCGGCGAGGGGAGUGAAAAAGAACCUGAAACCGUGUACGUACAAGCAGUGGGAGCACCUUCGGGUGUGACUGCGUACCUUUUGUAUAAUGGGUCAGCGACUUAUAUUCUGUAGCAAGGUUAA
rnacentral:rRNA from 1 species